CCGGCACGGUGAGUAACACGUAUCCAACCUGCCGUCUACUCUUGGACAGCCUUCUGAAAGGAAGAUUAAUACAAGAUGGCAUCAUGAGUCCGCAUGUUCACAUGAUUAAAGGUAUUCCGGUAGACGAUGGGGAUGCGUUCCAUUAGGUUGUUGGCGGGGUAACGGCCCACCAAGCCUUCGAUGGAUAGGGGUUCUGAGAGGAAGGUCCCCCACAUUGGAACUGAGACACGGUCCAA
rnacentral:rRNA from 1 species